CCUCCAAGCGCAGGAUGCAGGCCGUGCCAACGUGUCUAUUGGGGCCAUGUUCUGCAUGUAUGGGCUCACAGCAACCUUUGGAUACCUCACCUUCUACAGCAGCGUGAAGGCGGAGAUGCUGCACAUGUACAGCCAGAAGGACCCGCUCAUCCUCUGCGUGCGCCUGCCGUGCUGCUCGCGGUGACCCUCACUGUGCCAGUCGUGCUGUUCCCUAUCCGCCGGGCCCUGCAGCAGCUGCUUUUCCCAGGCAAGGCCUUCAGCUGGCCACGACAUGUGGCCAUAGCUCUGAUCCUGCUUGUUUUGGUCAAUGUCCUUGUCAUUUGUGUGCCAACCCAUCCGGGAUAUCUUUGGAGUUAUCGGGUCCACCUCAGCCCCUAGCCUCAUCUUCAUCCUCCCCAGCAUCUUCUACCUCCGCAUCGUACCUUCUGAGGUGGAGCCUUUCUUAUCCUGGCCCAAGAUCCAGGCCCUGUGCUUUGGAGUCCUGGGAGUCCUCUUCAUGGCUGUCAGUCUAGGCUUUAUGUUUGCCAACUGGGCCACAGGCCAGAGCCGCAUGUCUGGACACUGAUCAGGCCCUGCUGGCCCAGGUCCCUGUGCGCAUGCACAUGGAGGGGUCGGGGCCACUCCCUAGGGUCCCUCCUGCCCGGCAUGUGGAGGUGGCUGGUUCCCAUGAACGUGGUUGUCAGAGGCGGGGGACAGCAGAGGUUGCAGACUGGCCCACUUCCCUCCUCCCCAGGGAUGCCAAGCUUGGAUCAUGGCCCUAAUCCCAACCCCAACCCCAUGGGAGGAGGAAGAGGAGGAGGAGGAGGCCAGGUCCUGGUGGAGCCUUUACCCAGCCCAGUCCUCUCUGCCUCCUCCUGGCUGAAGCUGUUUGUCAGGAUUACCCUCGGGCUAAAGAGGAAAAAUAAAGAUGUUGAGCUACCA